rnacentral:rRNA from 1 species
UACGUAGGGGGCAAGCGUUGUCCGGAUUUAUUGGGCGUAAAGAGCGUGUAGGCGGCCAUGCAGGUCAGCUGUGAAAACUCCAGGCUCAACCUGGAGACGCCACCCGAUACUGCCAUGGCUAGAGUCCGGUAGGGGACCACGGAAUUCCUGGUGUAGCGGUGAAAUGCGCAGAUAUCAGGAGGAAUACCGAUGGCGAAGGCAGGUCUCUGGGCUGACACUGACGCUCAUGCACGAAAGCGUGGGGAGCAAACAGG